GGAGUUAGCCGGUGCUUCUUCUGUGAGUGAUGUCCUUCCUGCCGGUUAUUGACCCGCAGGCCUUCUUCCUCACUGAAAGUGCUUUACAACCCGAAGGCCUUCUUCACACACGCGGCAUGGCUGGAUCAGGGUUGCCCCCAUUGUCCAAUAUUCCCCACUGCUGCCUCCCGUAGGAGUCUGGGCCGUGUCUCAGUCCCAGUGUGGCUGAUCAUCCUCUCAGACCAGCUACGGAUCGUCGCCUUGGUGAGCCGUUACCUCACCAACCAGCUAAUCCGACAUAGGCUCAUCCGAUAGCGCGAGGCCCGAAGGUCCCCCGCUUUCCCCCGUAGGGCGUAUGCGGUAUUAGCCUGGGUUUCCCCCAGGUUAUCCCCCACUACCGGGCAGAUUCCUAUGCAUUACUCACCCGUCCGCCGCUCGCCACCAGGGAGCAAGCUCCCCGUGCUGCCGCUCGACUUGCAUGUGUAGGUCGUCGCCGCCACGCGUCAUACUGAGCACUGAUACUAACUACUCGA
rnacentral:rRNA from 1 species